rnacentral:rRNA from 1 species
CCUACGGGAGGCAGCAGUGAGGAAUAUUGCGCAAUGGGGGAAACCCUGAUGCAGCGACGCCGCGUGGGUGAUGAAGGCUUUCGGGUCGUAAAACCCUUUUCUAGGUGACGAGGAAGGACGGUAGCCUAGGAAUAAGUCUCGGCUAACUACGUGCCAGCAGCCGCGGUAAAACGUAGGAGGCAAGCGUUAUCCGGAGUUACUGGGCGUAAAGCGCGCGCAGGUGGUUGGAUAAGUGGGGCGUGAAAUAUCUCGGCUAAACCGGGAGGGGACGAACCAGACUAUUCGACUGGAGUACAGUAGAGGAACGCGGAAUUCGGGGGUGUAGCGGUGAAAUGUGCAGAGAUCCCGAGGAACACCAGUGGUGAAGACGGCGUUCUGGGCUGUAACUGACACUGAGGCGCGAAAGCGUGGGGAGCGAACGGGAUUAGAGACCCCGGUAGUCCACGCCGUAAACGAUGCUAGCUAGAUGUCUGGGCCGCGCAAGCGGAGUGGGCGUCGAAGCCAACGCGAUAAGCUAGCCGCCUGGGGAGUACGGUCGCAAGGCUAAAACUCAAAGGAAUUGACGG